AAGACGGGUAAGUCCAAGACAAAAACUGUAAUAAUACUAACUGGGACCUCUGAGUAGUCCAUGACGUCAUAACGUAGUCCGACUAAGAGAUGUCGCUACAAUCAACCGUCGAUGACGUCAUAUAUUUACAUUCUCACAAAAAACGUGACAGCACAGCAGACGAACUUCAGAGCGCGCAUAUCAUAAUGGUUGGGAAGUCAUAUCCAUGUGUUGUAUGCAAAAGGCGAUAAGAUACACAUACUUCACAUCAUUUUCGUAGAUUUCCAAAAGACAAAGAAAGGUGUCUGUUAUGGCUAAAUAUAUUGCAUAUCCCAAGCCUCCACGAAAAAAGCCACAUUCAGCUGAAUAGAAGCUUCCGCGUGUGCAGUCACCAUUUCUCUGCCUCUCAAUAUUGCAACACCUCAUCAGCUAAACUAUUAAGCACUGCUUGCCCUGACCAAAAUUUAGAAGGAAUUGGUUCAUUGGGAGAGGCUGGCCAGUCUGCAAUUGCUAAUGAGGACAAAUUAGAUGGUAUAGUAAUUUUAUUGCUUUUAUGUGACAUUAUAAAUAAAAUGAUGAUAUAAUUUGCCCUAUAAUAGUAACUGAUAAAUGUUAUUGAUUUUGCAUAAUACAUCCACAGGUGUUUAAUAUUAAUUAGUCUCAAGUAUUUGUAUCUGUUCAUUUGCUACCAAAUCCCCAAGUUCUGGUUAAAAUUUAGAAGAGGGAUCUGAGAGGCUCUGCCCCAACAUGUUUCUAGUCCUUAACACACAUAUUGGUGCCAAAUACUAAUUACAUAUUUUAUUUGUUUCAUUCGUGUCUGCAUAAUAUAAUGCAUACCAUUGUGUGCAAUUUUUCCUUUUGAUCAUGAUACAAAACUGUCCAUGUCUUUUUUCAAAAUAAAUAUUGGCAUAGAAAUGUACAGGAUUGAAAGUAAAAUAUUACAUAAAGAUAUAAACUUUAAGUUCACAGUCAUAUAGUAUAUGUUGUUGGUGUACAAGUUUGUUGUUGGUAGGUUUAUUGGUUUCAACCUGAAUCUCUGCGGAAAAAAAAUCUUGUUUGUAGGGAUUGAGUAAAUAGCUGUUUCUACUCAUUUUUUUUCUUUUUUUAUUAUUAUUAUUAGCUGAAUUUCGGGAAUUUGAGUUACUCUUAAGAAUUACUGUUAAUUAUACUGUGACAAAAAUGUUCAGAACUUUAGUAAUUAUUAUUUUGCUAAUAGUAUUGAUUAUAUAUGAUUUGAAUAAUAAGUAACUACAAAACAUUUUUUGUUUCUGUUUUUGUGUGAGCUAGGUUUUUCUUUGUGUGUGUUUGUGCUUGCUAUUACAAAAUUAGCAUGUCAUUUUAUGCUUUUUGUUUGCAGUUUCAGGUUUAUGUUUACAUGAAAUGUAGCAUAAUGUUUGUUUCUCGUUUUCAUUUAUAUACCUUGGCUACUGUGUUUGCAUCUUUUGUGCUGAAUUAUUAUUAUUUUGUUGUCUGAUUAUUUUCUCUCUAAUGUUAUGUUUCAUUGGACUGCAUGCUCCUAUUUCAUUAUUUAUUGUUUUCUUAUUGUUUUCGUUGUUGUUGUUGUUGCAUGUGCAUGAUUGAAAAAUAUUUUUGUUCAAGUAUAAUUGUUACUGUUUUUGCAUGCGUUUUUUAUGCCCCGUGCAUGUCACUCAUAUUUGUUAAUAAUAUGUAUAAUCUUUUCAUUAUAAUAAAGAAAAUCCAUACCUUUGAAUUUUACUAUCCAAAUUGAUACAAAGGUAUUAUUAUAAUAGUUUUGGAGAUUCAGUGUCUCAUUUAGGAAGAUAAAACACUGGUAAUAUUAAAUGAAUAUAAUCUCUCUCUCUCUCCCUCUAUCUAUCUAUCUAUCUACCCCCCCCCUCCUCUCUCCCUCUCUCUCUCAAUAUGAUUUAGAAGAUCUAAUCACUGUUAUUAACAAACCAAGAAUAUUGAUUUUAUGGUUUGGAAAAAUUCCCUAAAGUAAUAUUGCAUAUAAAAGUUCACAUAUAUUGAUAAAAAAUACCCAUCAUAAACCUGAUGUUUAUAUCCAUAAUACGUACGAAGAAUACAUAAUUUUAACACGAACACAUGAUAUCAUUGCUGCUGUAAUGACAACAUUUACCAUUGGACUACGC
rnacentral:lncRNA from 1 species